rnacentral:rRNA from 1 species
UGGGGAAUAUUGGACAAUGGGCGAAAGCCUGAUCCAGCGACGCCGCGUGAGUGAUGAAGGCCUUCGGGUUGUAAAGCUCUGUUGAGGGAGAAGAAAACAGUUAGAGCUAAUAUGUCUAGCUCUUGACGGUAUCCCUUUAGAAAGCACCGGCUAACUCUGUGCCAGCAGCCGCGGUAAGACAGAGGGUGCAAACGUUGCUCGGAAUUACUGGGCGUAAAGCGCACGCAGGUGGCUGAGUCAGUCGAUUGUGAAAGCCCUGGGCUUAACCUGGGAGUUGCAGUCGAUACUACUCAGCUAGAGUAUGGGAGAGGGUAGUGGAAUUCCCGGUGUAGCGGUGAAAUGCGUAGAUAUCGGGAGGAACAUCAGUGGCGAAGGCGGCUACCUGGCCCAAUACUGACACUCAGGUGCGACAGCGUGGGGAGCAAA